rnacentral:rRNA from 1 species
UCUGACCUCAAAUCAGGUAGGACUACCCGCUGAACUUAAGCAUAUCAAUAAGCGGAGGAAAAGAAACUAACAAGGAUUCCCCUAGUAACUGCGAGUG